AGAGUUUGAUCAUGGCUCAGAUUGAACGCUGGCGGAAUGCUUUACACAUGCAAGUCGAGCGGCAGCGCGGGGGCAACCCUGGCGGCGAGCGGCGAACGGGUGAGUAAUGCAUCGGAACGUACCCAUUUGUGGGGGAUAACUAUCCGAAAGGAUAGCUAAUACCGCAUAAGUCCUGAGGGAGAAAGCAGGGGAUCGCAAGACCUUGCGCGAAUGGAGCGGCCGAUGCCGGAUUAGCUAGUUGGUGAGGUAAAGGCCCACCAAGGCGACGAUCCGUAGCUGGUCUGAGAGGAUGAUCAGCCACACUGGAACUGAGACACGGUCCAGACUCCUACGGGAGGCAGCAGUGGGGAAUUUUGGACAAUGGGGGCAACCCUGAUCCAGCCAUUCCGCGUGAGUGAAGAAGGCCUUCGGGUUGUAAAGCUCUUUCGGCAGGAACGAAACGGUGGUCACUAAUACUGGCUACUAAUGACGGUACCUGAAGAAGAAGCACCGGCUAACUACGUGCCAGCAGCCGCGGUAAUACGUAGGGUGCGAGCGUUAAUCGGAAUUACUGGGCGUAAAGCGUGCGCAGGCGGCUCUAUAAGACAGAUGUGAAAUCCCCGGGCUUAACCUGGGAACUGCGUUUGUGACUGUAGGGCUUGAGUGUGGCAGA
rnacentral:rRNA from 1 species